AUAGUCGGUGGCAGGCGGCAGCGGGCAGCAGCAGAGGUGGCAGCGGUGACAGCGCCAGCGGGUGGCGUCUGCACCUGCAGCAGCUGCAGGGGCGGCAAGGGCUGCAGGGGCGCCAGCUUUGGGCAGCCCCGGGUCAUUGGGCGGCGGUGUGUGGCAGCCUCAGCUGCAGGUGCCAUUGGCUUCAGCUGGAGUCACUGGAGGCAGAAGCAGGUAGGGGCGGGGUCAGCAGUAGGCGGGUCAGCGGCGGCAGCGUGGGUCAGCGUGGGGAGGGGUGCCAGAAGCGUCAGCGGGUGUCUGCCGGGUAGGCGGUGGCGUCAGCGGCGUCAGCAGCGGGAGCAGUAGGGCUGGCGUCAGUCGGAGUCAGUGUUCAGCAGCAGCAGAAGCUCCCGGCAGCGGAGGCAGCAGCACUAUCAGCAGCGGGCGGCGGCAGCGAAUGACGGUCAAGAGACAGUGAUGACUCAGAGGUUGCCAGUGAGUUAAAGAAGUUGGCUGCCCAGCAGCAAGAGCCUGAGUAGACAGUAGCAGCGACCUUUUGUAGCAUCUCAAAAGACACCUACACGAUGGAACAUGCCCAGGGAUUUGGAAAACCGGAAGGACCUGCUUCUGUCUGAAUUAUGGAGUCUGGCACUAGGAUGAUCCUCUCAGGACAUAUUCCCAGAAGUGGACUUCCUCAGUGACAGGCAGUGACCAGCUUGAUAUCUGCUGUCAAAUUUCUUCCAAAAACCUUCCACCAUGACUUUCAGCAGCAAGGACUGAAGGAGCCAGUUCUGCAGUUCUGCAUGAAGCCUCUCCAAGCCGGGGUUCUAUUUCGAGAUAGCUUUGCUAAUUCCCAGAAGGCCCUGCUGCAUGUAUGACUCUCUGUUUAGCCAAAAAAGAAGUCGUGGUUUUGAAUAGCCUCGGUGUGACUGUUCUCAGUGAGAACGAGGGUACCAGAUCGCCACCGCCUGGCUGGCAGCAGCCCCAGCACAUUCACCACUGUGGAGGUGGGUGCCAUGGUGAGGCAGUUCAUGGGCACCGAGCUGGCCCUGGAGUCGGCAUACAUCUUCAGGCUGCCGGCCAAGACGAGGCAGGGCUGGGCGAGCCGCUGGAAGCCCCCGUCAUCACUGCUGGAAGCCCCCGUCAUCACCGCUGAGAAGAGAGCCUCCAAGAGACGAGAGCCUGAACAGCCUUCUUCAGGAAUACCAGAUCUACUACUGGGAGCUGGAGUCAGAGGUAUGCUCAGCCACCGUGUCCAAGAUGCUCAAAACCCCUUCGGCUUUACAGGCUGAGCUCCCAGCUCUGAGAAACACCGGUGUCAUGAGGUCAUCCUGACGGCCUACAACAUCAUCGGCGAGAGCCCAGCAGCGGGCCCAUGGAGGUGUUCGUCGGCGAGGCCGGUAAACUCUGGGUGCCCCCGCCAUCUGGGAGGCCUGGCCUGGCGCUCUCAGGGGCCGAGCAGUGUGCCCGUGUUGAGGAGCAUGGUGCCUGUGCGAGGCCGGGAGGCUCCAGGUCCCUGCUGGGAGAGCUGGGACUUGCUGAGGACUGGGCUGACCCGGCGGCCUGAGAGACCCGUCCAGUCUUGCUUUCAGACCUGAGGGUUCAUUUCACACCCAGAGCCCUCCUCGUGUAUCCCAGGUCGUGCUCCUGGAGAGAGGGGGCUGUCUCCAUGGAAAUCCAGGCAUAUGGGGACCUUGGCCUCUGCCGGGAAGUUUGUGCUUGGUCGCCCAUGGUCUCUGGUGAGCCCCAGCAGCGGCCCAGCCCCCACGUCAACCUGACCUGCUCACAGCUCUGUCGCAGGUCUCAGAAAGCCAUGUAGAUCAUUGUUUGUUCCCCUUUUAGAUAAGAUGCAGCCCCUGAAUUUGUUUCAAGGGCUGUCCCUUCUGUGGAGGCUCCCAGAGAGGUCAUGUCAUGUGUAAGCAGAUUGGGCUCCUGUGUGACCUGAGGGCCCUGUCCGCUCUCCCGCCCUGUGCCGGCGUCCUGCGCAGGUCAGCUGGGGCAGGUAGAGGGCUGAGCUUCAGGCCAGGAACAACAGGAACUCCCUCUGAGCACAGAGCCCUAGGCUUGCAGCAGAAGGUGGUUCAGUCUCUGGGCCUGCCUGCAGAAAUGUGGCAGAUGACCUUUCGAAAUUUGAAGAGGUUACUGUUAUAAAACAAAGGACAGCACUGGGGGCCUAACUUGGCAGGAUUUUUCUGGAACGGUCAAGCAACCUCUGCAGCAAGUGAGAAGGAGUGAAGUACGAUGCCUGGAGUGUAGGUUGUGUUGGCUUCUCUGUAGGUCUGUCGCCAGGGGUUAGGGGUCUGGCUGGUGGGGUGGGGUCUGGGGAGCCAGCAUUUGGGGCAGAUGGGACUCACUUCAGAGGAGCCCCCCGAGCCCGAGAAGGAGCAUGGGCAGGGAGGGGAAGUGCCUCGCGCCAUCUGGAAGGCGGGGGCUCCAGUCCUAUCUGGCACCUGGGCCCACGUUGGUCCCCACGGGGGCUGGGGUGAGGGGAGCGCACGGCCAGCCGGCUUCCAUCCGCAGCACCUGAACUGCCCAUGGGCGGCCUGCAGCCCAGACCCGGGCCACUGGAGGCACAGCCUGAGUCACAGGGGCCAGGGCAGAGGCUCAGAGGAGAGGACUGGAGCCAGGGAGG